UACAGAGGGGGCAAGCGUUGUUCGGAAUUACUGGGCGUAAAGGGCGCGUAGGCGGCCUUCUAAGUCGAACGUGAAAUCCCUGGGCUCAACCCAGGAACUGCGUCCGAUACUGGAAGGCUUGAAUCCGGGAGAGGGAUGCGGAAUUCCAGGUGUAGCGGUGAAAUGCGUAGAUAUCUGGAGGAACACCGGUGGCGAAGGCGGCAUCCUGGACCGGUAUUGACGCUGAGGCGCGAAAGCCAGGGGAGCAAAGCGGGG
rnacentral:rRNA from 1 species